GGGGAAUAUUGGACAAUGGGGGCAACCCUGAUCCAGCGAUGCCGCGUGAGUGAAGAAGGCCCUCGGGUCGUAAAGCUCUUUAGGUUGGGAAGAAGUGUAUACGAAGAUAAUGCGUAUACAUUGACGGUACCGACAGAAUAAGCACCGGCAAACUCUGUGCCAGCAGCCGCGGUAAUACAGAGGGUGCGAGCGUUAAUCGGAGUUACUGGGCGUAAAGGGCGCGUAGGCGGAUAUAUGAGUGUGAUGUGAAAGCCCUGGGCUUAACCUAGGAAGUGCAUCGCAAACGAUAUGUCUGGAGUAUAUGAGAGGGUGGCGGAAUUUCCGGUGUAGCGGUGAAAUGCGUAGAGAUCGGAAGGAACGUCGAUGGCGAAGGCAGCCACCUGGCAUAAUACUGACGCUGAGGCGCGAAAGCGUGGGGAGCGAACAGGAUUAGAUACCCUGGUAGUCCACGCUGUAAACGAUGAGAACUAGAUGUUGGAAGGGGAACCUUUCAGUAUCGAAGCUAACGCGAUAAGUUCUCCGCCUGGGAAGUACGGCCGCAAGGUUG
rnacentral:rRNA from 1 species